GACGAACGCUGGCGGCGUGCUUAACACAUGCAAGUCGAACGGUAAGGCCCUUCGGGGUACACGAGUGGCGAACGGGUGAGUAACACGUGGGUGAUCUGCCCUGCACUUCGGGAUAAGCCUGGGAAACUGGGUCUAAUACCGGAUAGGACCACUGCCUGCAUGGGUGGUGGUGGAAAGCUUUUGCGGUGUGGGAUGGGCCCGCGGCCUAUCAGCUUGUUGGUGGGGUGAUGGCCUACCAAGGGGACGACGGGUAGCCGGCCUGGGUGGGUGACCGGCCACACUGGGACUGAGAUACGGCCCAGACGCCUACGGGAGGCAGCAGUGGGGAAUAUUGCACAAUGGGCGCAAGCCUGAUGCAGCGACGCCGCGUGAGGGAUGACGGCCUUCGGGUUGUAAACCUCUUUCAGCACCGACGAAGCGCAAGUGACGGUAGGUGCAGAAGAAGGACCGGCCAACUACGUGCCAGCAGCCGCAGUAA
rnacentral:rRNA from 1 species